UUCGCCGUAACUCCGACGGCUUCCUCAGCUGGAUCCAAUGACAUUGGAUCCAGCUGAGGAAGCCGUCGGAGUUACGGCGAAAC